rnacentral:lncRNA from 1 species
GUCUUGUGCCCAAUGUCACACAGCUAGGAAGUAUCUGAGGCCACCCUUGAGCCCAGCAUUUCCCAUCUCCAGGUCUCGUUCUAUGUUCACUGAGCCACCCAGAUACCCUUUUCAAGGUUUUUAAACUAGGUGAGUAGAUUUGUUGUGAUGCAACAAACAGAAAGGCAAUCCAAUUGGCAUGUGGACAAACGACAGGGUAUCGCCGUUUACCCUGACAAGGGCACCAGCCUCUCUCCCUCUAGAUCAUUCCUUGUGCUUACUCCCAGAGCACCAGCAUUUCUAAGCUGGAUCACCCACUCUGGAGCUGACUAUGUUAUCACAAAAGAGAAUGCCAGAAUGUCAGAUUUCAGGGAAACUCAAGAAAAGGAAGGAGAGAGUAAGGGGAGCAAGAAUGAAUGGAAUGGAAGAAAGUCUUUCUCAGAAUAUGAUUUCUCCAGAUCCUUCUGCCCAAAUAACUGCCUACAGAUUAAUAGCCAAUCCUGGGACUUCUAUUAAACCUAGAGGUACAAUUCAGUAAAAGUCACUAGUCUUAUCACUAAAUACUGAAGAAUUAGGAUGGUUUAAGAAAGGAUUUAAAAGGUAGAACCUCAAAAAAAUCUAAUCAACCCCUUCUUUUUUUAUAAAUAUGAAAACUGAGGCCUAGAGUAGCAAUUGCUUAUACAUCAUCACAUGACUACCUAAAUUAGAACUGAAUCUCUAGCCUGAGAACUAAGAACCUCAGGCUCUCUCUAGUUCUAGCUUUGCCAUCAACUAGCAAUGUGACCUCUUUCGGCAUUUGCUUUUCAAUCUGUAAAAUGAAGAGGUUGGAUUAGCAUUCCAAGGUCUCUUGAGUGCAAAAAUUUUGUGAUUCUAUUUUGGAGAAGUCAGUGAAUUUCAGACAAUCAGUCAACAAGCAGUUAGUAUAUGCUUGAAGAAGAAACAAGAUUUGGAUAAUAAGUUUAAAUUCCAACUAGUGGAUAGAGUGGCAUGACUGAAGUCAGGAAGAAGACUUUAAAUCUUUUUUUUUUUUCAGAUACACAUUAGUUUGUGACCUUAGACAGGUCAUAAGUCUCUGUCUGCCUCCAUUUCCUUACUUGUAAAAUGGAGAUAAUAGCACCUGCAUCACAGGGUUGUUGUGAAGAUCAAGUGAGAUCAUAUUUGUAAAGGGCCUUGAACAUAGUAGGCACCUUGAGUAUAGUAGGUAAUGAAUGCUCAUUUCCUUCCUCUUAACUGAACCUCUCCCCCAAAUAAACACCCUUAUUAUCUAUUCCA